AUUGAACGCUGGCGGCAUGCCUUACACAUGCAAGUCGAACGGCAGCACGGGUGCUUGCACCUGGCGGCGAGUGGCGAACGGGUGAGUAAUACAUCGGAACAUGUCCUGUAGUGGGGGAUAGCCCGGCGAAAGCCGGAUUAAUACCGCAUACGAUCUACGGAUGAAAGCGGGGGACCUUCGGGCCUCGCGCUAUAGGGUUGGCCGAUGGCUGAUUAGCUAGUUGGUGGGGUAAAGGCCUACCAAGGCGACGAUCAGUAGCUGGUCUGAGAGGACGACCAGCCACACUGGGACUGAGACACGGCCCAGACUCCUACGGGAGGCAGCAGUGGGGAAUUUUGGACAAUGGGCGAAAGCCUGAUCCAGCAAUGCCGCGUGUGUGAAGAAGGCCUUCGGGUUGUAAAGCACUUUUGCCCGGAAAGAAAUCCUUGGCCCUAAUACGGUCGGGGGAUGACGGUACCGGAAGAAUAAGCACCGGCUAACUACGUG
rnacentral:rRNA from 1 species